GACGAACGCUGGCGGCGUGCCUAAUACAUGCAAGUUGAGCGCUGAAGGUUGGUACUUGUACCAACUGGAUGAGCAGCGAACGGGUGAGUAACGCGUGGGGAAUCUGCCUUUGAGUGGGGGACAACAUUUGGAAACGAAUGCUAAUACCGCAUAAAAACUUUAAACACAAGUUUUAAGUUUGAAAGAUGCAAUUGCAUCACUCAAAGAUGAUCCCGCGUUGUAUUAGCUAGUUGGUGAGGUAAAGGCUCACCAAGGCGAUGAUACAUAGCCGACCUGAGAGGGUGAUCGGCCACAUUGGGACUGAGACACGGCCCAAACUCCUACGGGAGGCAGCAGUAGGGAAUCUUCGGCAAUGGACGAAAGUCUGACCGAGCAACGCCGCGCGAGUGAAGAAGGUUUUCGGAUCGUAAAACUCUGUUGGUAGAGAAGAACGUUGGUGAGAGUGGAAAGCUCAUCAAGUGACGGUAACUACCCAGAAAGGGACGGCUAACUACGUG
rnacentral:rRNA from 1 species